UUCAUGUAAAAAAUGAUCAUUCGGACGUGUUCUUCAUCAUGAAACGAUUGUACUAGAAAUUGCUAGAUUAACUUAAACUACCCAUUUCCUAACAGCUACGUUUGACAUCAGAAUGAAUUUUUUAAGAACAUUUUGAAAGGUGACCUAGUUGUUAGGGUAAUUUAUUGUGUACUAAUAUCUCCAAAGAUCAUAUCACCAAAGAUCAUGCCAUCGACGUUCAUAUCAUACAUACAAACAAUGCCAAAUAAAACAACUUUAUAUACAAAAUAUUGUACAUACUUUGGCUGUGAAGAUGAUUGGAACUUAUAGCUUUCAACAAUGUUUGGAGGUUGGUCACUUGUUGAAUAACUUUGGAAGUGGUUAGGAUCCAUAUAUUUUUGAUUGUUGCCUUGGAAUAUAUCAGGACUGCUUGUACCCACUGAGGAUGCACUGGUACCAUCACCACCAUUGUGUCCCAGUCGGGUGAUAGGAUUUUCUUCAAAACUUGCUAUGACCUAAAUCAAAAAAUACAAGAACAUAAAUCUCUUUAAUUAAUACCAAACUAUAUUGGUAUUUUGAUUGUGUAUGUAUCAUCCUGUUCUAAGCAAUUGAAGCAAUAUUAAAUUAUAAGAAAUACAUAUAGUAUCUGUUAAAAAUAUCUGUUUAAAUAUUCAAUGCCAACCAGUGCUAAAAACAAGUAAGAAACAAAUAAUUUUAUACAUGUAGAACAAUAAAUUUGUCAAUUAAAUGGGUUAAGAAGGGUUAA